AGAGUUUGAUCAUGGCUCAGAACGUACGCUGGCGGCACGCCUUAUACAUGCAAGUCGAACGGAGUAGCAAUACUUAGUGGCAGACGGGUGAGUAACAUGUGGGUAUCUUCCCUUUGGUGAGGAAUAACACGAGGAAACUUGUGCUAAUACCUCAUAAGUCUUUACGGAGAAAGCUUUAUGCGCCAAUGGAUGAGCCUGCACUUGAUUAGUUUGUUGGUGGGGUAAUGGCCUACCAAGACUUUGAUCAAUAGCUGAUCUGAGAGGAUGAUCAGCCACAUUGGGACUGAGACACGGCCCAAACUCCUACGGGAGGCAGCAGUAGGGAAUAUUGCACAAUGGAGGAAACUCUGAUGCAGCGAUGCCGCGUGAGUGAAGAAGGCCUUUGGGUUGUAAAGCUCUUUCGUCGGGGAAGAAAAUGACUGUACCCGAAUAAGAAGGUCCGGCUAACUUCGUGCCAGCAGCCGCGGUAAUACGAAGGGACCUAGCGUAGUUCGGAAUUACUGGGCUUAAAGAGUUCGUAGGUGGUUAAAAAAGUUGGUGGUGAAAUCCCAGAGCUUAACUCUGGAACUGCCAUCAAAACUUUUUAGCUAGAGUAUGAUAGAGGAAAGCAGAAUUUCUAGUGUAGAGGUGAAAUUCGUAGAUAUUAGAAAGAAUACCAAUUGCGAAGGCAGCUUUCUGGAUCAUUACUGACGCUGAGGAACGAAAGCAUGGGUAGCGAAGAGGAUUAGAUACCCUCGUAGUCCAUGCCGUAAACGAUGUGUGUUAGAC
rnacentral:rRNA from 1 species